AGGAGGAGCGAGGGUGGGAAUAGGGGGAUAUUCGGAGAGAUCCAGGCUGGGAAGUGAAAAUUAGAAAAAGGGGGUCACAGGAGGCGGAGACCAAAGCAGUAAUAGGAACCGGCAGAGACGGUAACCGAGACCUUUCCUCCGACCGAGUGCCUCCCCCAAAACUCCGGGCCUUGACAAGCCUGAGUGCGGGGCCAGGGUCGGGGAGGGGGAGUUUGGGAGAGACAAGCCCAGUCAGGGAUAUCCCUCAAGCCUGAGCUACGGGUCCCGGAGGUGGCUCCGGCCAGGCAUGGGGCGCUGGAGGGUCCUGGGAUCCCCCGGAGGGCCCCGCUCCAGCUCUGGCUCCCGGAGUCUCCUUCACUCACCAUCGCAGCCGCCAUCUUGGAUCCACGUGUCGCCGUAAUGACGUCAGCGGAAGUGGUGUUUCCCUGGUUACGGAGUUUAACUCCGCUGGGUGCUCCCUGGCUUCAAACUCUCCUGUAGUCGUGGUCAGCGGAGAGAAAGGGAACCUUGGACGGCUCCGAGAAGCGGAGGCUGGAUCGAAGUCACUCGGUGGCCAGAGCUCCCCUCCCUAAGAGCUUCACCAGCUCAGAUGACUUUGAAAAUUGAGGGGGCGGGAUGCCUGGCUGGAGGGCAACUGGAGGCCCCACAUGAAUGAGAUGUGCCCAGGACCAGUCAAGGACAGAGCACAUCUCCUGGAAAAAGAGAGGUAUUGUCGCACUGAAUUCUGCCAAGUACACUUCCAAGAUGUGUAAGAAUCUUACAGCGUUUCUGUAUUCCCACUGCUACCAGCCACUUCAGGCUACCAUCAUCUCUUCACUCAUUCAUUCAUUCAGCAAUACUAUGCUGAGUGCGGGGGCUACACAGGGCUUCUCAACUUCAGUACUAUUGACAUUUGAGCUGCAUAAUUCUUUGUUGUGGGGGGUUGUCCUGGGCAACGUAGGAUGAUGAACAACAUUCCUGGACUCCACCUACUAAAUGCCGGUAGCAACCUCCUUCUCCACUUGUGACAACCAAAAAUGUCUCCAAACAUAACUAAAUUUGUGUGGGGGGAGGGGGACGGGCAGAACCAUGAAUUAAAAGAUAAUGACCCUGCUCUUAUGUGUUUGGUAUCUGUGCUGAA